UACGUAGGGGGCAAGCGUUGUCCGGAAUGACUGGGCGUAAAGGGAGUGUAGGCGGCCUUGCAAGUUAGAUGUGAAAUCCUACGGCUUAACCGUAGAACUGCAUCUAAAACUGUGAGGCUGGAGUGCAGGAGAGGUAAGUGGAAUUCCUAGUGUAGCGGUGAAAUGCGUAGAUAUUAGGAGGAACACCAGUGGCGAAGGCGGUCUGCUGGACAGCAACUGACGCUGAGGCGCGAAAGCGUGGGGAGCAAACAGG
rnacentral:rRNA from 1 species